GUGACGUCACUAAGCGUUUGCUCUAUAAAACCCUCUGGUGUCUCUCAGGUUUGUAACUUCAGCUCUGUUCAGAUCUUCAGGUGUGUGUGUGUGUGAGGAGACCAAAGGAAACUUCACCAUGAUUAAGGUUCUAACGGUGUGUAUCGUGCUGCUGGUUCUGGCCAUGCAUUUCUCAACUCAGGUUGAUGCACAAAACACAUCAACCACCUCAACCACCACAACCACCUCAACCAUCUCUACCCCAAGAGGUGGAGGUCUGACGGUGCUGCCCGGCCUCCUCAGCGUCAUCCUUCCCUCUGGCCUGCUCAUGUCUCUGCUCCAACACCUCCACUGCUGAACCUCUCAUGCUGAGGAGAUCCGGAGUAAAGCCAGACGGAGAGACGCAUCCAAAGAGCCACACUUUCUAAAUUCUUGAGUCGAAGUGGAAAUGCUGUUAAUUGAUUAAAUAAGUCUCUUCGCUAGCGUUCCUGUUCGGGGAUGAAAGAUCUACAAAUUGAAGCUCUUUGGAAAGUCUCGUCCAUGAAGCGUUCUGUUCUUUCUUCUGAAGCCUAGGAAAUCAAUCUGCACUGAUUGAGGUGAAUCAUGAAAUGACCAGUUCGCUCAAAGUUCUCCCCUUUAAUACACCUUUAGGACUUUUAGAAAUCAUUGAAGAUACAAUUUACAAUACAAUAUAAUUUACAUUAAAGCUGUUAAAUCAUGUCACUCUAAUUCUCAUUUUUUUUGUAUGAAUCUUUAAUGUUAUUUUAAUUGUAUCAGUACAAAAAUGAAAUAAAUGACGAUUAAUUUA